GAGACAUGCUCAUCGUUAACUUGGUAAUUUGGCUUAUGAGGAAAAAUCCAAUAUGACAUGUACUGAAAUUGCUGAGUAUGACAUGAAAACCUGGAGCUAAUAAAGAUUGAAAGGAAGCUAGAAGCCUGGCCAAAACCUCUCAGAUAGAAGACUCUCAGAUAAUAGCCAAAAGAUGCAGGCUGGCACCGUGAGAAGUACAUGAGACAUGACUAAGGCGGCUGAACUUCCAAAGAGCUCAGGUCUGGCGCAGCAGCAGGACCUUGGGGCUGGGCCAGAAAUACACAGCAAAGGCUGCAGAAAGCACUGGGAACAAAGCUGUAAGAAGGAUGGCUUUAUUCCGACUGUGACACCGCAAAACCCCAUGGCAGACCCACAGUGUCUCUUAGCGGUGCUUCCCAGUGCGGUUGAAGCGCUUGUACAAGAACCGGAUCCUCUUUUUGAGAUUGUGGUAAUCGUCCAUGAACAUCCGAUCUCCCACCAUCUGCUUCUUGCGAAUGCACCGCUGCAGCUCAUUCCCCCGCCAGCCUCGCAGCCACUUGGGCCCCAUGAUGAGGUGCUUCGGGUGGAUCUGGAAACCGCCCAGGAUCCCCACGUUGUCGUAGACCCCGAACAAGGCCCGUUUCUCCGUCCACCGAUCCACCUUCUGAGGCUUCGGGGGCUCCCUAACGCGAAAGUUGCGGGGCAGCCCGGCCAGGGGGGAGGUGAUGGGCAGGGGGCGGUAGGGCUCGUGGCGCUGCCCCCCACCGCUGACGCUCCGCACUGCCUGCGGCAAGGCCGCGACCCGACGCAUCAAACCCCGCACCAGCGCCGCCAUCUUGGCGGCGACUCGGAUGAACCGGAAGGAGGCGGGCGGUGCCGCGCUAACGGUCGCUGAGGG
rnacentral:lncRNA from 1 species